UACGGAGGGUGCAAACGUUGCUCGGAAUUAUUGGGCGUAAAGCGCACGUAGGCGCUCGUUAAGUCGGAUGUGAAAGCCCGCGGCUCAACCGCGGAAGUGCAUCCGAAACUAGCGAGCUUGAGUAUGGAAGAGGGUCUCGGAAUUCCCGGUGUAGAGGUGAAAUUCGUAGAUAUCGGGAGGAACACCAGUGGCGAAGGCGGAGACCUGGGCCAAUACUGACGCUGAGGUGCGAAAGCGUGGGGAGCAAACAGGG
rnacentral:rRNA from 1 species